rnacentral:ncRNA from 1 species
ACGAAUUGAUCGGGAGAGAUCGCAGGCCAAGGCCCGCGGCGCCGAAGGAGCAACCGCCCCGGAAACUCUCAGGCAAAAGGACCGGUCCAUUCUU